UACGUAGGGUGCGAGCGUUAAUCGGAAUUACUGGGCGUAAAGCGUGCGUAGGCGGUUUUUCAAGCUUGAUGUGAAAGCCCCGGGCUUAACCUGGGAAUGGCAUUGAGGACUGAGAGGCUAGAGUGCGGCAGAGGGGGAUGGAAUUCCGCGUGUAGCAGUGAAUGCGUAGAUAUGCGGAGGACACCGAUGGCGAAGGCAAUCCCCUGGGCCUGCACUGA
rnacentral:rRNA from 1 species